rnacentral:lncRNA from 1 species
AUUUCCAUGGCCUUUCAGCUCCGUCAAAAGACAUCACAUGUGCGUUCUCUCUCUCCCUCCUUCUAACCAAGCAGGCAGCAGCUUUACAACUUCUAAAUUCUCUGAUAAGCAAAAACAAACUAAUUAAGAAACAUAUCUGGUAGAAAUGCCAAGCAAAAUCAUUUAAGCUAGCGAUGAGUAUUAGCUCCCUCAUCCCCGUUCAACAACAAGUUCCUAUUAGUUGGAGAAAAAUACCAAAGCGUGUAACCAUUCAAGUCUGCUUUCAGACUUAUCAUCCAAAGAGUUAAUAGGAUCCUGCAAUAUCAUUAGAAACAGCCAAUUAGCAGUUCUAGCUAGAAUUAUUAUUACAAAUGAAACAUUCUAGAGUAACUUAUAUGACUAAAGGCCUGCAGUUAUUCUGGAAAUCUUUAAGCAGUGAAAAUUAUGUAAAACUUCUGAAAGCAGAUGCUUUUUCAACCAAUGUCAGCAUAACCCGAACGUUUAUGAAACUGAAACUAAAUGGGCCAAAUUAGACCUCUCUAUCCGGUCAAAGUCACUGUGAAAGUACGAUAUAUUCUCCUUCUUUGUUUUGUGUGUGUGGUGGGGGGGGGGGGGGAUCUUUGGUGUUUCGAAGAGGAUGGCAAUAUUGUAGCCUGUACCAUGCAAGGCAACAGGACCUAGUAAAAAUGUAGCAGCAAUCCGCAACCAAAGUUGAAUAUUUGAUGUCUGGAGUACUGUGGCGGGUAAGACCUGCAUUUAGAAAGAAAGUUUUAGUUCAAAUAUUCCAACAAGUAAUAUAUAUUUCUUCCACUUCAGCUGCUACAUAGCUGAGCGUGAUAUCCACACACUCUUUCCCUACAUUGUCACCACAGAAAGGAGGAUAAAUUUCAUCUGAACUUCAGAACUCAACACAAAUCAUUUUGUUUAGGCAUGUUAGACAGAGAAGAUACCACCAAAAUCCACCCCUCCUUUUCUUCUCCUCUAUCUCAUAACCCAACCCAAAACAAAGCCCUUCUUAUUCUCCAUACCUUUUCAUUCUCCAAUUUCCAGUGAUCCCAAUUGUCUUAGAGUCUUCCUAAAAGCAAAGGCAUCUUUUCCCAAAACAUAAGCAUUUUUCCGCGCAUCCUAUUCUAGGGAGACAAGAGGGAACGGCAACCAAGUUCACGCUUUAAAGCACUGAUUUCAAUUAUCAUUCAAUUCUCCACGAAGGCCUCGAAUAUCUAGGUUCCUCUCACCUCCACAGAACCCUACCUUGGUCUGGGAUGGACGGAGACAGGGUCCCUCCCUACUUCACCUUUGGACCAUAGAUGAAAAAUGAACAAUUUUCCCUAUGAAUUUCAAAGAUAAUACCAACUACUUAGGAAUAAGGAAAUCAGUCAUGUUGGUACAAUUAUGUAUGAUCUCGUGCUUAAAAGGAGUCAUUAUCUUUUACAUAUUUGUAUGUCAGUAGAAAAAUAGAGAACUUCUAGUAGUAGAGAAUCCCAAGUUAUUGAAUAUUGGAAUGAUACGGGUACAAAUGGAGUGAAAUGGAUAAUACAAUCAUAACCCCAACUAGCUUAAGAUGAGGUAUAGUUGUUAACACCAAUACCAGGAUGUACCCCUAUGCCAUCUACCAAAAAUAAGAAAACUAGGGAGUGGAUGGAGACCCAACUUCACCUUUUGGCCAUAGAUACAAACAAAAACAACUCGCCCUAUGAAUUUAAUUAAAUUCUCAAGACCCCAUUCCGUAUAUCUAAACAUAAGAAAGAUCUCAUCUGCAGCCACUUGGUCUGUAGAAGCCUAGAGGAGGGGAGGGAGGUAAACUGAACAACUUUGCCUGAGAAAUUUAAAAAUGAAAAAUUGAACUAUCAAGAAUGAAUACGAGGAUGUUCCUGGAUGCAAUCUACUAUCAUAAAAUUAAGAAAUAUCUCCUCCCCAAGCAAUUGCAUAUUUUGACAAAUCAUUUUCCCAAAUAUAAUUUACUAACAGUAACAUGCCAUAAACCUUCAUUUUCAUAUCAUGCCACUAUCACUCACCUGAACAUGUUUGAUAUACACGAAUGAUUUGUCGUGCGCUGCUAACACUCAAUGAGAGACACAACUUUCCCUUCCAAAGCCAUGUCCAUGCCCCUUAACUUUUUACACUUAGUUCUCAAGUAGCCUUUCAUAUUCCACAUUGACAAAAUUCAAUUUUGCCUCUAUGUAUCAUAAAGUCGAUGCCUGAUUAGUAAACCCUAACUUAGUUUUCUAAUAAAGAUUAACCCCCCCCCCCCCCAAACCCCAAGUUGGAACUCAAUAUGUUUACACAUAUUUGCUUACUUUACAUGGAAAAAGAAGCUCCUAAAUACCACUUAUAACCAACAAAUUCAACCAGAAGCAUUCAGCAUAUAGCUAGCAUGUUAUUCACGACAUGUUAUUCAACAUCAAUUCCCAGAUUAAGAGAAUUUAGAGGGAACAAUUGCUAAAGAUCCAAUUGCAUAGAACUAGAGUAUUCAACAAAUCUAGCAGAAAAUGGGAACAUAUCUAGGCAAACAAAAAGACAAUAUAUUGAACUAACACGAUCAGAGACGACAACUGGAUCAGAGACGACAACUUAUAUUUCAUCAAAGGAUUCGUUGGCUGGAUUUGUUCUUCUUCUUUUCUUCUUCCCUUGUAUCCGACGUUUGUGUCAUGUAUUUGGGUCAGUUCACGGUAUGUCCUCUUAAAUGGGCUUUCUGCCAGUCGGGCCUAAUAUUUUUGAAGUGAGCAAUAGCAUGGUCUAACCAAUUUUGGGAUGGGUAAUCGAAAAAAAGUCAGUUUUUGUAAAAGGAUUUUGGCAUGG